rnacentral:misc_RNA from 1 species
GGAAGGAUCAUUAACACGUAUCCACGUAUACACCAAUCGCGAACUGGUUUUCAACCUUCUCCCUGCUUAUUGAAUGAAUCGGAUGACUGCGUAUCAUAUUAUGAUAGGAUAUUAUAAUUUACUUAAUAUCUGUGUGACUCGCUUUCACUCGUCUUCGGACGGCCGUUUGUAUCAAUAUUGUCAGGCACCCAGCUGCUCAUUAGGUCGACCUAUCAUACUGACUUAUUAGUGGCGUCACUUUAAUUAACAAUUUUCACCCACUUUUUGCUAGUUGACUUUUAUAUGUUGGAAGAUCGUAUGAUUCGUCAUACACUCUCCAGACGUUACUUAAUUGAACGUUAAAAUUACAACUCUUAGCAAUGGAUAUCUUGGUUCUCGCAACGAUGAAGAACGCAGCGAAAUGCGAUACGUAAUGCGAAUUGCAGAAUUCAGUGAAUCAUCAAAUCUUUGAACGCAAAUUGCGCUCUUGGGUAGCCCUAGGAGCACGCCUCUCUCAGUAUCGGUUCAAUCAACUCUCAGCGGCGUACGACAUUCGUGUUGUAUGUGUCGGCUGGAAAAUGAGAGUCUCGAUUUCACGAUCGAGUCUCUUUAAAUUCAUUGAAUCAACUAUUUCUCUUUGACUGAUGAAUUUAUUCAUCAGCUUCUCUCUGAUUGGUCUGUUUCAAAGUGACGUGAAUACUGACCUUUAUGGUCUCAUUCAUUUACGUGUAACUCUGAACGACAUUUAAAACAAUCUAGGAUGGAGUGUCAAAACGACGGAUUUAAUUGAUGUCUAAGCGGUGCAUACCGCAAUCGUAUGGUAGGAUUUUAAUUAAUCACAUUAUACUGAAUUUUGAUCUGAGAUGAAGCGAGACAACCCCCUGAAUUUAAGCAUAUUAAUAAGGGGAGGAAAAGAAACUAACAAGGAUUCCCCCAGUAACGGCGAGUGAAGCGGGAAGAGCUCAAUUUGAAAAUCGACUACCUAAGCGGGUCGUCGAGUUGUAGCCUAUAGACGUACUAUCAGCUGAAACCUGGGUAUAAGUUCUUUGGAAUGAGGCAUCAUAGAGGGUGAGAAUCCCGUAUAUGACCCAAAGCUUUCAGCGUACGAUGUAUGUUCAUCGAGUCGAGUUGUUUGGGAUUGCAGCUCUAAAUGGGUGGUAAGUUUCAUCUAAAGCUAAAUAAUGGCGAGAGACCGAUAGCGAACAAGUACCGUGAGGGAAAGAUGAAAAGAACUUUGAAAAGAGAGUUAAAAGUACUUGAAAUUGCUAAGAGGGAAGCGCUGACAAUUAGUCAUUCUUGCCGUUCAUCGCCCUCAGCCCCACUGGUCGUGUGGUGCAGUUGGAAACUCUGCAUUACGCGACGAAAGGGAGGUUGGGGGUUUAGGACGGUAGGUGAGUCAAGAUCCAUUCGACUCGUGGGAGAAGGUAGUGAGAAAGGUGAGAUACUCCGGUAUCUGUUAUAGUCUUAUUACUCUACUCGGGUUGGAUGGAGGAAGGAAUAGUGCGCUGCUUGCGGCUUAGUCCUUGGUACCUGCCGGCGAAGUUGCCUUGAUAGCAAUGCUAUCCUGGUGAUGCCUCGUCUGUACUGUAUUAGGUGACUCUAUGUGCUAUCACGAUCUUGUACGAAAUGAUUGUCAUCGACCCGUCUUGAAACACGGACCAAGGAGUCUAACAUCUAUGCGAGUAUUUGAGUGAAAAACUCUGAUGCGCAAUGAAAGUAAAGGCAGCUUCGGUUGCUGAGGUAGGAAUCCGGUCAAACGGAGGCACUAUCGACCGAUCAUCACUUGUGAAAGAUUUGAGUAAGAGCAUAUCUGUUGGGACCCGAAAGAUGGUGAUCUAUGCCUGAACAGGGUGAAGCCCAGCGAAAGUUGGGUGGAGGCUCGUAGCGAUACUGACGUGCAAAUCGUUCGUCUGAUUUGGGUAUAGGGCGAAAGACUAAUCGAACCAUCUAGUAGCUGGUUCCCUC